rnacentral:rRNA from 1 species
AACAGGAUUAGAUACCCUGGUAGUCCACGCCGUAAACGAUGAGUGCUAAGUGUUAGGGGGUUUCCGCCCCUUAGUGCUGGAGCAAACGCAUUAAGCACUCCGCCUGGGGAGUACGGCCGCAAGGCUGAAACUCAAAGGAAUUGACGGGGACCCGCACAAGCGGUGGAGCAUGUGGUUUAAUUCGAAGCUACGCGAAGAACCUUACCAGGUCUUGACAUCCCAUUGGCCGGUAUAGAGAUAUACCUUUCCCUUCGGGGACAAUGGUGACAGGUGGUGCAUGGUUGUCGUCAGCUCGUGUCGUGAGAUGUUGGGUUAAGUCCCGUAACGAGCGCAACCCUUGAUCUUAGUUGCCAGCAUUAAGUUGGGCACUCUAAGGUGACUGCCGGUGAUAAACCGGAGGAAGGUGGGGAUGACGUCAAAUCAUCAUGCCCCUUAUGACCUGGGCUACACACGUGCUACAAUGGAUGAUACAGAGGGUUGCCAAGCCGCGAGGUGGAGCCAAUCCCAUAAAAUCAUUCCCAGUUCGGAUUGCAGGCUGCAACUCGCCUGCAUGAAGCCGGAAUCGCUAGUAAUCGUGGAUCAGCAUGCCACGGUGAAUACGUUCCCGGGUCUUGUACACACCGCCCGUCACACCACGAGAGUUUGUAACACCCGAAGUCGGUGAGGUAACCCUUAGGGGAGCCAGCCGCCGAAGGUGGGACAGAUGAUUGGGGUGAAGUCGUAACAAGGUAACC